CAACUGGGAUGCCUUACCAGGCAAUAUGGAGCACCUUACAUCGCUCAAGGAACUACAAAUCGAAGGGUGCUUGAAUAUCCGGUCGCUUCCAACACUGCCCCGUUCUCUUGAGAAGUUUUGUGUUGCAUACUGCAGUGGUGAGUUCACGAAGUCGUGUCAAACAGUCAGACAUCCAAAUUGGCAGAAGAUCAAGCACAUCCCCGACCAAAGAUUUGAAGACCCAGCAUCCUCAGAAGAAAAUUCUAGUUAGAUUUUCCCGCAAAAAAAGAGAAGAAAGAAGAGAAGGUUGGCUAGGAAUCACAAGUCCGUGAAUCAGUGAAGGAAUGUGGAGCCAUCAGGAUUUGUUCUUACUUUCCAUGUGCUUGUUUUAUUGUGCACUGUGAUUUUCAAUGUGCACCAGACGUGUAUGGCCGACUACUGUUUCAUAUGACUAUUUGUGAGUGAGUGUGAGAGAAUUCUGUAUACUAUUCAGUACUAUUUCUGAUCUGUAAUAAUGUGGGCAGUACCGUUUAAUUUGAUUGGUGAAUGCUAUUUAAUCA